UACGAAGGGGGCUAGCGUUGUUCGGAAUUACUGGGCGUAAAGCGUGCGCAGGCGGCUUCUCAAGUCAGGGGUGAAAGCCCAGAGCUCAACUCUGGAAUUGCCUUUGAGACUGAGAAGCUUGAGUACGAGAGAGGUGAGUGGAAUUCCCAGUGUAGAGGUGAAAUUCGUAGAUAUUGGGAAGAACACCGGUGGCGAAGGCGGCUCACUGGCUCGUAACUGACGCUCAUGCACGACAGCGUGGGGAUCAAACAGG
rnacentral:rRNA from 1 species